AUUCAUAUAAAUGUUUUAGACGUUUCCCUCAAGAUUCAUUUGGACAUGUUUGCUAUCUUUGAACAUUCAAGGAUCUUUAGUAGAAUCUGACAUAAAUGUGUUGCUCAGCAUGAGUCUCUCUGGAUGGAGCCACUGGUGGAGCUGAAGUGGCUCCGUCUUUCUUGAAGCAGCAGCAUGUUGUUAUUCAUAUUAAUGAGAGCUCUUCUUCUCUGCUUCUGUUAGACUGUUUGAAGCUGCAUCCUGUUGGCUUCAGCUGUUUGGAGUUUACAUUUUCUCAACUUGUACAUUCUGAAGCUUCUUCAGCUCUGAACACACGAUGAAACUCUGAAUGAUUUCAAGCAGACACUUUGUCUCUUCAGCUCACAUCUUUUAUUCUUUAUUCAGAUUGGAGGGCUGCAGUUUGUCAGAGGUCAGCUGUGAUUUUCUGGUCUCAGCUCUGAAGUCCAACCCCUCCCAUCUGAAACAUCUGAACCUGAGUAACAACGACCUGCAGGAUUCAGGAGUGAAGCAUCUGUGUGGUUUUGUGGAGAGUCCAGACUGCAGCCUGCAGACUCUGAGAUGGAAGUAUUGAUGCUGAUCAGGACGGUGUUUGUGCUGAGAGGAGUCCUGAUGAUCCAGAGGUUGAACCAUCAGCAGCAGCAGCAGCUGUGUCCAGACUCUGAUGAUGAAGAUGGAGAUGAUGAAGAUGAUGAAGAUCUCUUCAUGUAUGCUCUUUCUACUGAGGUUGUUCGGUGGCUUUUAGUGUUUGAUGUUAUGUUCAUGUGUUUUCUGCUCACAUCUGUUUGUGUUCAGUGUUCUUCUCUUUGGAACAGUGAAGUUCAAGGUUGAAACGAUCCAGCUGUGACGGCUCCAUGAAUUUACAUCUGGAUUUAAAUAAGCAGUGUGAAGUUUAACAGCUGCUUUUAUUCUCUUUCUCACUUUAUAAACUUGAGCAGGUUGCAUCAGAAUCUAAAAGCUGGACCGUGGUUCAGUCAGAGAUGGAGCAGCUUCACAGGAAGGUUUCUCUCUGGUCUGUUCCUAAACCGUUUCGUUCAUCAUGUCCGCCGUGGUUUGACUUGUGUUCUGUUGUUUCUGAGUCAGUGGAUUCUUGAGUGUUUGGUUGUAAAUCAGAGCCUGUUCUCAGACCGGUGAAGCUCCUGCUCCGAAUGAACCUUUGACCUUCGUUGUCUGAUAUGCAGCUUCAUCCAGCAUCAGUCAUACUUUAUCAUCGUUGUAUUUGUGUUUUUUAAACCUGUGAAGAACUUUGUAAAGUUUCUUCUGAAAACUGAAGUUAAAUGAAGCCUGUUGUCAGGAAUCAGACUAAAUGUUGUAUUAAUUCUGCGAGUAUUGGUGCUGAAUAUGUGAUGAACAUUCAGAGUGCUGCUGCUAUGACACAUGGAAGCAUCACGUUCACUCAUCACUCCUGUUUUUCUACCCACAUACAUGUUCCACAGAAUGAAGCAACACUUUAUUCUUCCUCACAUCAGGAACUAAAGAAACUUUUCACAAUCCGUUCGACAUCAGCAGCAUCGCAACGAGUGAAGUUCUAGAGCUUCAGUUUAACACCAGACUUGUUCUGCUUGUCCCAGCCUUCAUAUGUGUCCAACACCUUCUGUUUCUUUUCUCCGUCUCUAACUCUUCCAUCUCUGUCAGCACAACAACUCCAAGUGGAUCCAACCGUUCUGAACACUCAUUUCUCUGUUCCUGACUUCCUGACUAAACUCAACGCUAACCUUCCCAGUGGUGGGUCUUUGUGAAAAUGUUCCAAUGCGUCACAUAUUUGUCUUGUGCUUGUAGUCUUCAGUUCCUGUCAGUUUGCUCUGGCUGACUCCAGCCAACAGGUUUUUAUUCUCCACUCGGUGUCGCUGGAAAACCAAACCUUGGUCCUGGUUUGUCAGAGCGACUGGAGCGUCGUGAUGCAGCUCAGCAAGCCCUGAUGGAGACUGAAUCCAAGGACACAAACCGACCUGACGGCUGCUCAUGUCACGUUUAAUUAGUGACUUCACUGCAGGAAGUCAGUGCAGAGUAACGAGACACUAAAUAUACGUUUGGAUGUGAACAGACAGAAAUAAAUCUGUGUUCUAUGUGUUCUGUCUGGAUGUUGUGGGUUUUCAUGCACCAGUUUAACAGCAGAUUUCUGCUCAUGCAAGAGAAAUUUCUUCCUUUUUAAUACAAAAAGGUGAAAAUAAAGAAUUUCAACAUA